rnacentral:rRNA from 1 species
UACGAAGGGGGCUAGCGUUGUUCGGAAUUACUGGGCGUAAAGCGCGCGCAGGCGGUCUUCCAAGUCAGUGGUGAAAGCCCGGAGCUCAACUCCGGAAUUGCCAUUGAAACUGUUAGACUUGAGGAUGAGAGAGGUGAGUGGAAUUCCCAGUGUAGAGGUGAAAUUCGUAGAUAUUGGGAAGAACACCGGUGGCGAAGGCGGCUCUCUGGACCGAGACUGACGCUGAGGCGCGAAAGCGUGGGGAGCAAACAGG